AUAUAAAUAUGUCCUCACAAUUUGUUCCAUCUCAUUGAUUCUUCAAUAAAGGCAUUACACCAUUCUAGGUGAUGUGAUAAACAAGACAUUCUAGACUUUACAUUGUACCAUGGAGAGAAAUGGUUAUUAAUAAUACAAUUGUAGAACUGUAUUAUUUAAUUAUACAGUGGCAUUAUUUAAUUAUAAUUAUCAUAAGUUCUUUGAUGGAGAGGAAAUCAGAAUCAGAUCUAAGAAGACUUCAGCAUUCCAAGAAUGAUGUCAAAUGACCCCCUUCAUGGUGAAUUAUGCACAUAUUUACUAUGAGAUAUAUUUCUUUUCCAGAGAUUCCUUGUUUUUGUAUCAAUUGUAGAUUUUUGGUUUGCAGUUAUUCUGAAAUUUUGAUGUAAGAGUCUAGAUGUAUAUGAGAUUGUUUUAAGUAGUUGUUCUCUUAAUUGCAAGUUCAUCUCCGGUGUCCCGCAUUUGUACCCACCUCUUCUCAUGAUUUCUGAUUUUGAUGGUAUAAUUGUGCACGGAUGAUUUCGUAUCUUUACUGUAUAUAUACCUUUACUGGUGAGCCUUGUCAUUUGUGGAAUUUUUGUAUCCUGUUGCUCAUCUUUUCUUUCCUGCCUAGAGAAGUUCCUUUAGUAUUUGUUGUAAGGCUGGUUUAGCAUUGCUGAAUUCUCUCAGCUUUUGCUUAUCUGAGAAGGUUUUUAUUUCUCCUUCAAAUCUGAAUGAGAGCCUUGCUGGGUAGAGUAUUCUUGGUUUGAGGUUUUUUCUUUUCAUCACGUUAAGUAUAUCAUGCCACUCCCUUCUGGCCUGCAGAGUUUCUGCUGAAAAAUCUGCUGGUAAGCUUAUUGGGGUUCCCUUGUAUGGUACUUGUUUCUUUUCCCUAGCUGCUUUCAACAUUUUCUCUUUGUCUUUAAUUUUGGUCAGUUUGAUUAUUAUGUGUCUCAGGGUGUUCCUCUUUGGGUUUAUUUUAUAUGGUACUCGUUGUGCCUCCUGGAUUUGAGUGAGUGGUUCCUUUCCCAUGUUAGGGAAGUUUUCAGGUAUUAUCUCUUGGAAUAUUUUUUCUGUCCCCUUCUCUCUCUCUUCUCCUUCUGGCACCCCUAUAAUAUGGAUGUUGGUGUGUUUAACAUUGUCCCAGAGUUCCCUGAGACUCUCUUCAUUUUUUUUAAUCUUUUUUCUCUUUUCUGUUCUGCAUCCAUAAUUUCCUCUAAUCUGUCCUCCACCUCGCUUAUUUGUUCUUCUGCCUCCUGUAUUCUGCUGUUAGCUGCUUCUAGUGAGUUUUUUAUUUCAGUUAUUGUAUUUUGCAUCUCUUCUUGUUUAAGUUUUAUAUCUCAUUUCUCUUUGCUCAGUGUUUCCUGUAAAUUAUCCAUCUUUGCCUUCAGUUUAUUUCCAAUGUCUUGCAUCAUCUUCAGCAUCAACAGUCUAAAGUCUUUUUCCUGGAGGCUGAGAAUCUCCUCAUGGCUUAGCUGAUUUUCUGGGUUUUUCCUUUCUCCCUCAUCUGAGUUAUAAUUCUCUGUCUUUUCAUUUUUAUAGGUUUUUGGAGUGGUGACCUUUUUAUAGAUAAUAGAGCUGUAGCCUCUCUUACUUCUGGCAUCUGCCCCCGUUGUGGCUGAAGUCAGUGUGAGGGGCUUGCUACAGCAAGCUCCCUUCCUGAUGGGAGGGGCUGAUGCCUGCCCACUGGUAGGUGGAGCCGAUUCUAAUCCCUCUAGUGGAUGGGGCUUAGUCUCUGGAUGGGAUUAUGGGCUGCUGUGUGCCUGAGGGGUCUUUAGGCAGCCUGUUUACUGAGGGGUGGGGCUAUGAUCCCACCUGGAUUGUUGUUUGCCCUGGGGCUUCUCAGCACUGACUGUCGGGUGGGGCCAGAUUUUCCCAAAAUGGCCACCUCCAGAGAAAGGCUUUGCCUUCAAUGUCCUUCCCUCACAACAAGCCACAUUCACCCCUGUUUUCCCAUGAUGUCCUCCAAGAACUGCAGUCAGGUUUGACCUAGGUUCCUGUGGAGACCUCGCUCUGCCCUGGGACCUAGUGCACGUGAAAGUCUGUGUGCACCUUUUAAGAAUGGGGUCUCCGUUUCCCCCAGUCCUGUGGAGCUCCUGUGCACAAGCUCUGCUGGCCUUCAAUGCCAGAUGCUCCAGGGGCUCUUUCUCCAGUGACAGAUCCCAGCAUGUGAGGGUUUGAUGUGGGGCUCAGAACUCUCACUCCUGCAGGUGAGUCUGUGUGAGCCAGUUAGUUUUUAGUCUGUGGAGCUUCCCACCCGGGAGGUAUGGGGUUGUUUAUAUCACGAAAUCACCCCUUCUACCUGUGGAUGUGGCCUCCUCUUUUUCUUCUGGAGUAGGGUAUGGGUUUCCGGUCCAUUUGGGUGGAGAUUGCUCCCUGCCAAGAGUAUUCUUAACAUCAACUCUUGUUUCUGACACAAUUGUGAAGCCCCAAAUUAUCCAAAUAUACAUUCUUUUCUAUUGGUGAUCAAAGCAAAAUUGGAAACAUUACUGUAUAAAUCACUUGGUAGUUUUUAAAUUAGAUACUAUGGAGACAUUGGAGUGCCUUGGAAGUCAUUAAUAAAUCAUACAUUAGAUAUUUCGUGUUACAAUUAAUUCAAUAGUGCAUAUUUAUCUCACUUUAUCAAAUGUAAUAGUUAUCUUCUUUUUAUCAGAUGAAAAUAGACAUAUUUGAAAACCUAUGUUUACAGAAAAACCUGCAUAUAAAUAUUUACAACAGUUUCAUUCAUAGUUCCCUAAAAUCAGAAGCAAUGAAGAUGUCCUUCAAUAAGUGAAUGGAUAAAAAAACUCUGGUACAUUUAUAUAAUGUGAUAUAAUUGAGUGAUAAAAAGCAAUAAGAUAUCGGAGUUCCUGCAGUGACUCAGUGGGAACAAAUUCAAGUAGUAACCAUGAGAUUGUGGGUUCCAUCCCUGGCCUCACUCAGUGGGUUAAGGUUCUGGGGUUGCCGUGAGCUGUGGUGUGGGUCACAGAUGUGGCUUGGAUCUGGCAUUGCUGUGGCUGUGAGGUAAGCUGGGGCUACAGUUCUGAUUUGAUACCUAGCCUGGAACUUACUAUACAUAUGUGGUGGGUGUGGCCC
rnacentral:lncRNA from 1 species